rnacentral:rRNA from 1 species
AUUGAACGCUGGCGGCAUGCUUUACACAUGCAAGUCGAACGGCAGCGCGGGCUUCGGCCUGGCGGCGAGUGGCGAACGGGUGAGUAAUACAUCGGAACGUGCCCAGUAGUGGGGGAUAUCUCGGCGAAAGCCGGAUUAAUACCGCAUACGACCUGAGGGUGAAAGCGGGGGAUCUUCGGACCUCGCGCUAUUGGAGCGGCCGAUGGCAGAUUAGCUAGUUGGUGGGGUAAAGGCCUACCAAGGCGACGAUCUGUAGCUGGUCUGAGAGGACGACCAGCCACACUGGGACUGAGACACGGCCCAGACUCCUACGGGAGGCAGCAGUGGGGAAUUUUGGACAAUGGGCGAAAGCCUGAUCCAGCAAUGCCGCGUGUGUGAUGAAGGCCUUCGGGUUGUAAAGCACUUUUGGCGGGAACGAAAAGGACUGUGCCAAUACCACGGUUCGAUGACGGUACCCGCAGAAUAAGCACCGGCUAACUACGUG